GAUGAAGAACGUAGUGAAAUGCGAUAAGUAAUGUGAAUUGCAGAAUUCAGUGAAUCAUCGAGUCUUUGAACGCACAUUGCGCCCCCUGGUAUUCCGGGGGGCAUGCCUGUCCGAGCGUCAUUGCUGCCCUCAAGCACGGCUUGUGUGUUGGGCCCCCGUCCCCGGUUUCCCCCGGGGACGGGCCCGAAAGGCAGCGGCGGCACCGCGUCCGGUCCUCGAGCGUAUGGGGCUUUGUCACCCGCUCUGUAGGCCCGGCCGGCGCCAGCCGACACCCAACUUUAUUUCUAAGGUUGACCUCGGAUCAGGUAGGGAUACCCGCUGAACUUAAGCAUAUCAAUAAGCGAGGA
rnacentral:misc_RNA from 1 species